GUGAGGUACGAGGUAUAAUAGAUGUAGUGUGUACAGUUAUGUGGUAUAUACAGCAGUGUAAUUAUAUAUGAGGUACAAAGUAUAUUAGAUGCAGUGUGUUAAGAUAUAUAGUAUAAACAGCAGUGUACUGAUAUGUGAGGUACGAGGAAU